rnacentral:rRNA from 1 species
GACGAACGCUGGCGGCGUGCUUAACACAUGCAAGUCGAACGCUCAAGCCCUGGCCUUUCUCCGGUUGGAUUAGCGGCGAACGGGUGAGUAACACGUGAGUAACCUGCCUUCUUCUCUGGGAUAACGCCGGGAAACGGGUGCUAAUACUGGAUAUUCACUUAUCUCCGCAUGGGCGAUGGUGGAAAGGUUUGUUCUGGUGGGGUAUGGGCUCUGGUCCCAUCAGCUAGUUGGUGGGGUGAUGGCCUACCAAGCCAAUGACCGGUGCCCGGCCGGAGAGCUGGAUCGGUCACACGUGAACUGAGACACGGGCCAGACUCCAAAGGGAGGCAGCAGUCGGGAAUUUUGAACAAUGGGCGAAAGCCUGACGCAGCAAGCCCGCGUGAGGGAUGAAGGUCGGCGGACUGUAAGUCGUUAUUCUUUGGAAAGAAUAGUCAUGUAGGAACUGUGGGUUGUGUUGACGGUACUGAAUAAAAAAGCGCCGGCUAACUACGUG